UACGAAGGGUGCAAGCGUUACUCGGAAUUACUGGGCGUAAAGGGUGCGUAGGUGGUUGUUUAAGUCUGUUGUGAAAGCCCCGGGCUCAACCUGGGAAUGGCAAUGGAUACUGGACAGCUAGAGUGCGGUAGAGGGUAGUGGAAUUCCCGGUGUAGCAGUGAAAUGCGUAGAUAUCAGGAGGAAUACCGAUGGCGAAGGCAGGUCUCUGGGCUGACACUGACGCUCAUGCACGAAAGCGUGGGGAGCAAACAGG
rnacentral:rRNA from 1 species